rnacentral:misc_RNA from 1 species
GACUGAGCGACGGUUGUCGACUAUAGACGCGAAGGCAAAAGUAAGGAAGAAGCUGGCGAGAUAUUGGCGAAAAUCUCAUGACGAUAACUCAUCUCUCCCAACUUGGGAUGAUUCCUCCGUCGAUAAUUCUCGUCCCAUGGACACCGAGGGUUUUUUUUCUCAGGAUGCCGAGAAAUGCUUUUACCAAAAAUUAUUUUAUCAGCAACCAAACAGGGAUUUAUUACUUUUUUUUUUUUUUUGAUAAUUCAUAAUUUUAUUAAAAUUAAUAAAAUUAGGAAAGACUUAGCAAAAUAAUUCAGACUAAACCAUGCCAAUAGACUAACCUAGAACACCCAACCUAAGGCUUAUAAUGCUAAGUGAAAAAACCUAGACCAUUACAAAAAUACCUCUGCAAUACAAAAAGUCUGCAACUUAAAAGAUAUUCAAGCACUCCUAACCAGAGGAAACACAAAUCAAUUUCAGAACAAGAAUACAUGCCUAAGGUUACAAAAAUCCUAAUACUACAGACUCCAUCGAUUUUCAGUUCACCCCAUCAGCUAGAGUCUACAUCUGAGAACAGAGGUGAGAACAGGAGAUUUGGAAGCUUGAUUAAUCAUUGUUGUAUUUAAUAGGUUUGAGGUCUUGUUCUGUGAUUUAAGGUUUUAAUUGGAAAUUGGAUCACUAAAUGCAUCUAUUGGGAAACUCUAGAAUAUGUCAGUCAAAGAAUGUUCUUGUUUUUCAACUGAGUUGUUAGUGUUCCCUUCAGUCAACAUUUAAUUUCAAAGUUUAAAUUUAUUGGUUUGGGUUUUUGAAGUUCCAAUAGUUGUUCAAAGGUGCUUCUGUUCCCUAUGGAUGCCACACACAUUGGUUGUUCUGCAAUGUCCAUAAUAAAUCAAGAUUGCAACUCUUAGAUUAAUUAUUGCCUGUGGUCCAACUAUCUCAAUUUGAACACUUGAUCUUGGAGAACAUUGUCUCUCUUUAUUAUAUCAUAUCUUACUUGAUAUGUUUUUUUUCUGAUUAACUUGUUGCUUUCUUAGCUGCAAGACUGAGGGUGGCAGC